UCAAAUAAUUUUAGGAUGACGGUGAAUACCUAGGUAUUUAGAGACGAUGAAGGGCGUGGCAACCAACGAAAUACUUCGAGGAGCUGGAAACAAGCAAUGAAUCGGAGAUUCCCUAAUAGGGCAACCUCAAGAACUAAUUGUUGAAUUCAUAGACAAUCAAGAGAAAACCCGGUGAAUUGAAACAUCUUAGUAGCCGGAGGAAAAGAAAGCAAAAGCGAUUCCCUUAGUAGCGGCGAGCGAAAUGGGAACAGCCUAAACCGAACACAGUAAUAUGUUUUCGGGGUCGUGGGAAGAUAAAAUAGAAGAAGUAGCUGAUUCCUACACCAUAGAUGGUUAUAGUCCAGUAUUCAAAACCCCCAAGUAGCAUGGGGCACGUGAAAUCCCGUGUGAAUUUACGAGGACCACCUCGUCAGGCUAAAUACUCCUAAAUAACCGAUAGCGAAAUAGUACCGCGAGGGAAAGGUGAAAGAGAACCCCUUAAGGGGAGUGAAAAAGCAUAUGAAACCGUCAUCUGACAAGCGGUGGGAGAUGUCUACAUUGACCGCGUGCCUGUAGAAGAAUGAGCCGGCGACUUAUAGGAAGUGGCGUGGUUAAGGAAUUUUCCGAAGCCCAAGCGAAAGCAAGUUUUAAAAAUAGCGAUAUUUGUCACUUUUUAUGGACCCGAACCCGGGUGAUCUAACCGUGACCAGGAUGAAGCUUGGGUAACACCAAGUGAAGGUCCGAACUCUUCGAUCUUUAAAAAUCGUGAGAUGAGUUGCGGUUAGUAGGUGAAAUGCCAAUCGAACUCGGAGCUAGCUGGUUCUCCCCGAAAUGUGUUGAGGCGCAGCGAUGAAUGACAAAACAAAUAGUACGGUGUAGGGGUAAAGCACUGUUUCGGUGCGGGCUGCGAAAGCGGUACCAAAUCGUGGCAAACUCAGAAUACUACGCUUGUAUACCAUUCAUCAGUGAGACUGUGGGGGAUAAGCUCCAUAGUCAAGAGGGAAACAGCCCAGAUCACCAGUUAAGGCCCCAAAAUGACAGCUAAGUGGCAAAGGAGGUGAAAGUGCAGAAACAACCAGGAGGUUUGCCCAGAAGCAGCCAUCCUUUAAAGAGUGCGUAAUAGCUCACUGGUAAAGCGCUCUUGCGCCGAAAAUGUAUGGGACUAAGUUGUCUGCCGAAGCUGUGGGAUAUUGUCAAACAACAAUAUCGGUAGGGGAGCGUUCCGCUGUAGGUUGAAGCAUACUUGUAAGGUGAUGUGGACGAGGCGGAAGUGAGAAUGUCGGCUUGAGUAACGCAAACAUUGGUGAGAAUCCAAUGCCCCGAAAACCUAAGGGUUCCUUCACUAGGUUCGUCCAUGGAGGGUUAGUCAGUGCCUAAGGCUAGGCCGAAAGGCGUCGUCGAUGGAAAACAGGUCAAUAUUCCUGUACUAAAUGUUGUUAAGAACCGAGGGACGAAGAAAGCUUCCAUACGCCAUGAUUGGAGUUGGCGAGAAACGAACAAGGUGAUGAAAUGUAGAAGAAAAACUAUAUUUUAGCUAAGUCGUCGUAUGUGCUUAUUCUUAUAGCAGCUUAAGCUGUUAUGAGGUAAGUAUUAUGUGUAAAGUUAUGCUUCCAAGAAAAGCUCGAACUUCAUAAAACAACAUAUUAUCUGUACCCGAAUCCGACACAGGUAGGUAGGUAGAGUAUACAGAGGGGCGCGAGAUAACUCUCUCUAAGGAACUCGGCAAAUUGGCCCCGUAACUUCGGGAGAAGGGGUGCCUCUUUUAAAAAGGAGGUCGCAGUGAGCAGGCCCAGGCGACUGUUUACCAAAAACACAGGUCUCCGCUAAGUCGUAAGACGACGUAUGGGGGCUGACGCCUGCCCGGUGCUGGUAGGUGAAGCGAGUUGGUUAUCUUUCGAGAGAAGCUGGCGACCGAAGCCCCAGUGAACGGCGGCCCUAACUAUGAGGGUCCUAAGGUAGCAAAAUUCUUUGUCUGGUAAGUUCAGACUCGCAUGAAUGGCGUAACGAUCUGGGUACUGUCUCGGAGAGAGACUCGGUGAAAUAGACAUGUCUGUGAAGAUGCGGACUACUUACAUCUGGACAGAAAGACCCUAUAAAGCUUUACUGUAGCCUGACAUUGGAUUUGGGCUCCUCUUGCGCAGACUAGGUGGGAGGCUAAGAUAUUUACCUUGUGGGGUACGUUGAGCCAUCAUUGAGAGACCACUCUAGAAGAGCUAAAAUUCUAAUGGUGAUCCUUGAAUCAGGACACUUGACAUUGUCAGGCGGGCAGUUUUUCUGGGGCGGAAGCCUCCUAAAAGGUAACGGAGGCGCGCAAAGGUUCCUUCAAGCUGGACGGAAAUCAGCUGUAGAGUGUAAAGGUAUAAGGGAGCUUGACUGCAAGACCUACAAGUCGAACAGGGGCGAAAGCCGGCCUUAGUGAUCCGACGGUACCGCGUGGAAGGGCCGUCGCUCAACGAAUAAAAGUUACUUUAGGGAUAACAGGCUGAUCUUCCCCAAGAGUCCACAUCGACGGGAAGGUUUGGCACCUCGAUGUCGGCUUGUCACAUCCUGUGGCGGUAGUACGUCACAAGGGUUGGGCUGUUCGCCCAUUAAAGUGGUACACGAGCUGGGUUCAGAACGUAGUCACACUGUUUGGUCCAUAUCCGAUGUAAGCGUUAGAGCGUUGAGGAAAUCCUCGCCUAGUACGAGAGGACCGGUGAGGACGCACCGCUGGUGUACCGGUUGUUCCGCCAGGGGCAUACGCCGGGUAGCCAUGUGCGGAGUGGAUAACCGCUGAAAGCAUCUAAGUGGGAAGCCCAUUCCAAGAUGAGCGCUCUCUCGCAAGAGUUUGCCUCUUGCAAUAGGCCACAGCAAGACUAGCUGUUUGAUAGGUGUCAGGUGCAAGGUCGGUAACGGUUUUAGCCAAGACAUACUAAUAGGCCUAGUGAGUUUGA
rnacentral:rRNA from 1 species